AAUCAACGCUGGCGGCGUGCCUCAGACAUGCAAGUCGAACGAUUAAAGCUCUCUUCGGAGAGUGCAUAGAGUGGCGCACGGGUGAGUAACACGUAAGUAAUCUACCUUCGAGUGGGGAAUAACGUCCGGAAACGGACGCUAAUACCGCAUAAUGCAGCGGCAUCGUAAGAUGACAGUUGUUAAAGAUUUAUCGCUUGAAGAGGAGCUUGCGGCAGAUUAGCUAGUUGGUAAGGUAAUGGCUUACCAAGGCUACGAUCUGUAACCGGUCUUAGAGGACGGUCGGUCACACUGACACUGAAUAACGGGUCAGACUCCUACGGGAGGCAGCAGUCGGGAAUUUUGGGCAAUGGGCGAAAGCCUGACCCAGCAACGCCGCGUGAAGGAUGAAGUAUUUCGGUAUGUAAACUUCGAAAGAAUAGGAAGAAUAAAUGACGGUACUAUUUAUAAGGUACCGGCUAACUACGUGCCAGCAGCCGCGGUAA
rnacentral:rRNA from 1 species